rnacentral:lncRNA from 1 species
UAUAAAUAUAUAUAUAUAUAGCCACUACAACAGAAUUAGGUUAUAGGGACACAUGUUUGGGACACUUUUGAGUAAGUGUCCCAUUUAUACUAAAACUUAAAAAAAUAUCUACUUAUGCCUAAAUAUAAAGUCCAAUCCAACCAAAAAUAAAAGAUUACUCUACUCAACCCACCACACCCAGUUUAUUUGACCCGAUUACAAACAGAAAAGAAAAAAUAAAAGAAAAAUCAAUUACCAUCUUUUCUUCUCUCUUCACACAAUCCACCGAAAUUCUAGACGAAGAGCCUUUCCUGUCGUCCUCCUCCGCCACCGCAGCCAACGAGAUAGAGUUUCGGCAGUUGCUAAAUACUUAAAUAAGUGUUUGUAAAUUAGCAGCACUCUUUUAAGUUAUAGCGACACUUUUUAACUGUCACUAUAUACCUAGCGACCCCACAUAUAGCAAUACUUUUUAAAAGUGUCGGUAAUUUUAGCUAGCAGCACUUUUUUGACAUGUACCUACAUUUAAAAGUGUCGCUAUAGACCGCUUUUGUUGUAGUGAGCGACGGAUUGUUUGGUCGUUGUUGAAUCAUAAACUGUAAAUUCUAAAUAUUUUUAUCGACGACAAUUUUCGUCGUUAAAUGUUUAGUUUAUUAGCUGAAAAAUAUUUUUUAGCGACAGUAUACGCUGUCAUUAUUUUAGUUUUAUCCGUCACUAACAAUAAGAUUUUGCAUAUUUUUAUAUAAAAAAAUGACAAACAAACGGUCGUUAUUACUAACAAUAUUGGUCGUUAUUAUAUACAUUUAACGACGGGAUUUGAUCUUGUCGUUAAAUACUUUUAGUCAUGGAAAUUAAAGCCCUUCGUAAUAAGUUUUAGCGAAGGAAGAUUUAACGACGGGUGGCGACGGAAAUUUGUACGGUCAUUAAAAGUUAUUAGCGACCAAUAUGCUAGUUAUAACGACCACUAUUUCCUUCGUUAAAUAUCAAUUUUUUUGUAGUGUGAUCUUUUCACAUCUUUUAAACAUAGGAGUUUUCCUUUUUAAAAAAAAAAAAAAUCAAAAACUCCCCCUUAAUUAGACAAUCUCACAAUUGAAAGUAAUUUUGACAAAAUUUUAGUCGAUUCGUGAAUAUCCAUCCAUCAUAUUCAACACUCACAACCGAGAUAGAUUAAUCACCAAGAUAUCAAAUUUGAUUUCAAAAUUUUUAUGAAUAUAUGUAUUAAGAAAUCAUAUAUUAAAUUAUCGUCAAAAUAAAAAACAGUGGAGUAAAACCGAUAAUUAAUAUGAAGUUAAUUGAAGAUGAAUUCCAGUUAAAACACAUUGAAAAAUUCUAAUCUCCCCAAAAUAAAGAAUUUCAAUCGUCUCCUUUCUCAAAGAAAAAUUUUAAACUCCCAAAGACCUUUCCUCAGAAACAAAUAAAAUUCAA